GCGAGCGUAGCUCAAUGGUAGAGCAGUCGUCUUAUACACGACCGGUUCCAGGUUCGAGUCCUGGCGGAUGCA
rnacentral:tRNA from 1 species